ACGAACGCUGGCGGCAGGCCUAACACAUGCCAGUCGAGCGCGCCCUUCGGGGUGAGCGGCGGACGGGUGAGUAACGCGUGGGAACGUGCCCUUUUCUACGGAAUAGCCUCGGGAAACUGAGAGUAAUACCGUAUACGCCCUUUGGGGGAAAGAUUUAUCGGAAAAGGAUCGGCCCGCGUUGGAUUAGGUAGUUGGUGGGGUAAUGGCCUACCAAGCCGACGAUCCAUAGCUGGUUUGAGAGGAUGAUCAGCCACACUGGGACUGAGACACGGCCCAGACCCCUACGGGAGGCAGCAGUGGGGAAUCUUAGACAAUGGGGGCAACCCUGACCUAGCCAUGCCGCGUGAGUGAUGAAGGCCUUAGGGUUGUAAAGCUCUUUCAGCUGGGAAGAUAAUGACGGUACCAGCAGAAGAAGCCCCGGCUAACUCCGUG
rnacentral:rRNA from 1 species